UACGUAGGGUGCAAGCGUUAAUCGGAAUUACUGGGCGUAAAGCGUGCGCAGGCGGUUGUGCAAGACAGAUGUGAAAUCCCCGGGCUUAACCUGGGAACUGCAUUUGUGACUGCACGGCUAGAGUGUGUCAGAGGGGGGUAGAAUCCCACGUGUAGCAGUGAAAUGCGUAGAUAUGUGGAGGAAUACCGAUGGCGAAGGCAGCCCCCUGGGAUAACACUGACGCUCAUGCACGAAAGCGUGGGGAGCAAACAGG
rnacentral:rRNA from 1 species